rnacentral:rRNA from 1 species
CCUACGGGAGGCAGCAGUGGGGAAUCUUGCGCAAUGGGCGACAGCCUGACGCAGCCAUGCCGCGUGAAUGAUGAAGGUCUUAGGAUUGUAAAAUUCUUUCACCGGGGACGAUAAUGACGGUACCCGGAGAAGAAGCCCCGGCUAACUUCGUGCCAGCAGCCGCGGUAAUACGAAGGGGGCUAGCGUUGCUCGGAAUUACUGGGCGUAAAGGGCGCGUAGGCGGACAUUUAAGUCAGAGGUGAAAUCCCAAAACUCAACUCUGGAACUGCAUUUGAUACUGGGUGUCUAGAGUGUGGAUGAGGUAUGUGAAAAGCAGAGUGUAGAGGUGAAAUUCGAAGAUAUUCGGAAGAACACCAGUGGCGAAGGCGACAUACUGGCUCAUUACUGACGCUGAGGCGCGAAAGCGUGGGAAGCAAACAGGAUUAGAUACCCUAGUAGUG